UGCUUGCUAGAUUCGGCAUAUAUACUGUGGAAUCCUUUUUCACAGUUUGAUUUAAUGGCAUACAGCUGAUUUUAAUUGUGAUUGGAUGUUCUUGGACCUGGACGGCUUGUUGCACUGCCCUUGAUAAAGCUCAAUCGAGCGAAACAUGUCGGGCCUCCUCCAACAGGUUCCUCUGCUACUGUUUUAGUCGCUAACAUCACCUAUGAGACCAUCCAUGUCUUGUUUGAUAUUCUGUGUUAUUUAAAAACCAAUUUAUAUGUCUGAAUAAAUUAUUAUUUUUAUAUUUA